UUAUAUAUGAUAUAUGUAAGUUUUGUAGUUCUCUUCACUGACUAACAUUUUAUUCCCAUUCUGCCUAUUCCAGCAUACUUCUCGUGACCCCGAGAAAGAAAGGGGCUCAUCAAGAAGCAGGGAAAAGGAGAGAGAGAGAGGAAGUGAUAAAGACUGGGACAGGGACAGGAGUAGAGAUAGAGACAGAGAUAAAAAAAGGGACAAAGAUAGGGAUAGGGAUAGGGAUAGGGACAGAGAGAGGGAGAAGGACCGUGAUCGUCAUUACAGAGAUCGUCAUAGGGAUCGGAGUUAUAGGAGAGAGGGAGAGGACCAGAGAUCGGGAUGAAGAUGAUCUUCAUCGAAUUCGGGAUUAUGAUAGGAUCAGUGGUUUUGAUAUGGCACCUCCUAGCAGUCCCUUGUUACCUGGCGCUACUGAUGUUACAGUGUUUGUGUGUUUGUCAAUGUUGGGCUACUUACCCCACUGUGCUGAAAAUGGGCGUGAGCCGACUUCUGUAGCUUAUAAAGGAAGAAUCGAUACAGGCCUGAAUGCUACUUCCUAUGGAUCUGCAAGAAAAUUACAACGAUUAACAGGUACACGUUUAAAUUUAUUAUAAAUAUUACUUUUUGGACGUAUCCCCUUUUGUGCAAAGUGGAAGAAAUUCUUCAGAUGUAAAAAAGCAAUUUGCAUAGGUGAGAACAUGCAUUUUUUCACAAGUUUUUCUACAAAUCUAGGCUGCUGAAUCAGUUGAUACUAUUCUGACAUUUUUUGUGCUUUUAAGUGAUCUGUUUCUAGUGAAAAUUAUGUUAUUUAUAUAUUAUGUAAUAUGGAUAUAACAUACUCAUUUGGAUGAGUUUUAGUUAUGUCAAGUAAAAAUAUUAGACAAACAGAUGAAGAAGAUAUUUAUCUAGUAUUCAUUAUGUAAUGACAUUUGAUAGUAGGUAGGUCCUUCAGGUUGUAUAUAGAUUAAUAUUAGGUGUUUGCUUUCAGAUUGACAAUAUAUAAAUAAACAUAAUAAAAUUUAAAAACUUAAUAAGAUACAAAUACCUAAUGAUGGAAUCCACAAUAUCUAAUAAAUUGCUAGAGUAAUAUUAAUAUACUAAAUUACAGAUAUAACAUGACAAACGUCAUUUAAAAGAAGCAAAUGAUAUCUCCUUUUCCUUUUUAAAACCUCUGCGAGCCUUGUUUCUUGACUGCUGAAAAUUGAUAUCUUCAUCAUCUACGACUGAUUUAACCUUUUUUGAUGAUCUACUCCUUUUUGCAUAAGUCUUUGUCACGACCCGAACUAGGGCCUGACCGUGAUGGACAUCCCAAACCAUGAAGGCCCGGACGUCCUACUCUAUCUGAUCUGGUAAUCAUGCACAACAUUCAUAUAAUAAAAGAAAAUGUGAAAUUAUAAUCUAAUACGGAAACAUGGUCAUCCUCUGAAUUCAGUUUAACAAUAAGGAAUGAAAUCCGAAAUCAACUUAACCACAUCUGAAAUAGUCUGCGAAAUCUAUACUACAUGAUCUAAAGACAACUGUCUGAAAAGCUGGGACAAGGCCCCCAGUAGACCAAAAC